UGUUUCCACAGUACUUUCAGUUUCUCUUCGUUUUGUUUUUCUUUUAUUUUUCUUGCUCCUCUUUCUACACAGUGAAGUUGCUGUUGUUUUACAUUUACCUUUUAUUUAUUUGUAGUUUUUGAGGCAGGUUGGAGUGUAAGAAUGUAAUAUCGGCUCACAGCCGCCUCGACUUUCCAGGGCUCCCUCAGGUGAUCUUCCUAUCUCAGCCUUCCAAGUGGCUGAGACUACAGGAGUCACUUAAUUCUGUGAUGUCGAAGCUGAAGCGAGCCGUGAUCAUGCCUUGCCCUCCAGUCUGAGUGUUUCAGAAGGUGGAGUUUCGCUCUUAUUGCCCAGGCUGGAGUUCAGUGGCGCGACCUCAGCUCACCGCAACCUCUGCCGCCUGUGUUCAAGAGAUUUUCCAGUCUUCACCUUUUCGAGUAGCUGAAACCACAGGCAAACACCGCCAGGCCUGGCUUUUUUUUUUUUUUUUUCAUAGAGACUAGGUAGCUCCAUAAUGGUCAGGCUGGUCUAGAACACCCAACCUGAGGCGUACCACCCAACUUGACCACCCAAAGUGCUGAGAUUAAAGGCGUGAGCCCCACGUCCGGCCAUAACAUCUUAUCCUAUAGAAAUCCAGAGAGGUUAGAUGUCGUCUCACAUGUCGAGGUGAUCUCAAACUUUUAGGCUCCAGCGAUCCUCCCACAUCGGCCUCCCAGAGUGCUGUGAUGACACUUUUGGGCACUAUGGAGUUUCACUCUUGUCACCCAGGGUGGAGUACAAUGGCGCGAUCUCGGCUCACCGCAACCUCCACCUCCCAGGUUCAAGUGAUUCUCCUGCCUCAACCUUUCCGAGUAGCUGGAAUGACAGAAAUGUGCCAUCAAGCCCGGUUAAUUUUUAUAUUUUUAGUACAGAUGGGGUUUCUGCAUCUUGGUCAGGCUGGUCUUGAACUUCCGACCAUUGGAGAAUUUUAACUUUCUUGGUGAUUGUUUUUCUUCUGUGUCUGUCUUCUCUCUUACUCUCCUUCUCUGCCUGUCCAUCUGUCUGUCUCUCCCUCCCUUUCUGUUUCUGUCUCUCUCCCUCUGUCUCUCUCUCUUUCUGUUUCUUUC
rnacentral:lncRNA from 1 species